AUUGAACGCUGGCGGCAGGCUUAACACAUGCAAGUCGAGCGGAGAUGAGGUGCUUGCACCUUAUCUUAGCGGCGGACGGGUGAGUAAUGCUUAGGAAUCUACCUAUUAGUGGGGGACAACAUUCCGAAAGGAAUGCUAAUACCGCAUACGUCCUACGGGAGAAAGCAGGGGAUCUUCGGACCUUGCGCUAAUAGAUGAGCCUAAGUCGGAUUAGCUAGUUGGUGGGGUAAAGGCCUACCAAGGCGACGAUCUGUAGCGGGUCUGAGAGGAUGAUCCGCCACACUGGGACUGAGAAACGGCCCAGACUCCUACGGGAGGCAGCAGUGGGGAAUAUUGGACAAUGGGGGGAACCCUGAUCCAGCCAUGCCGCGUGUGUGAAGAAGGCCUUAUGGUUGUAAAGCACUUUAAGCGAGGAGGAGGCUACUGAGACUAAUACUCUUGGAUAGUGGACGUUACUCGCAGAAUAAGCACCGGCUAACUCUGUGCCAGCAGCCGCGGUAAAAC
rnacentral:rRNA from 1 species